GAUGAACGCUGGCGGCAUGCCUAAUACAUGCAAGUCGAACGAAGUUUCGAGGAAGCUUGCUUCCAAAGAGACUUAGUGGCGAACGGGUGAGUAACACGUAGGUAACCUGCCCAUGUGUCCGGGAUAACUGCUGGAAACGGUAGCUAAAACCGGAUAGGUAUACAGAGCGCAUGCUCAGUAUAUUAAAGCGCCCAUCAAGGCGCGAACAUGGAUGGACCUGCGGCGCAUUAGCUAGUUGGUGAGGUAACGGCCCACCAAGGCGACGAUCGGUAGCCGGACUGAGGGGUUGAACGGCCACAUUGGGACUGAGACACGGCCCAG
rnacentral:rRNA from 1 species